UUCUGCUUCCAUCUCUGCAAUCUGCAUCUCUGCGUCUGCCUCUGCGAGCGACUGCCUGCUUGCAUCUCUGGAAGCGGUGGAAGUGAUCGGCAACUGCCUGACUGCAAUCUGCAUCUCCGCCUCUGCCUUGCCUUGCGACCUCACUGAGUCAUUGCUUACCAGCUAAUAUGUUUUUUUUAACUCCAAUUACCAACAAUACCAGUUCCAAAACCAAAAGUUGGUGUAGGAAGGAAAGGCAACUAAUCCUGUGAUGAUUGAGGAAAAUAUGGAGGAAAUCCAGGUGGCUGAGCACCAUAAGGAACCAUUGGAACUGCAGUAAUCCUGCCUCCAGUGCUAGGAGAUUCAACAUCAGAAGACUGUGAAAUAGAUGGACCAUUUUUAAAUUGUGAACUCCUUGAAGACCUAGAACCACCAUGCAUGUAUAAAGCUGACAUACUAUCAGAUAAAGAGUUUAUGGCAAUGUUAUUUUCUCUUUCAGCACCAAGAAGCAAAGCUUUUAAUUAUUUCAUAGAAAUAGAGGUAUCUUUUGCAAA
rnacentral:sRNA from 1 species